GACGACCUCAGAGCAGGCGAGACUACCCGCUGAAUUUAAGCAUAUUACUAAGCGGAGGAAAAGAAACUAACAAGGAUUUCCUUAGUAGCGGCGAGCGAACAGGAAUUAGCCCAGCACUGAAUCCCGCGGUUCUGCCGUUGGGAAAUGUAGUGUUCGGGAGGGUUCGUUUUAUCCCGCGGCGUCGGACCGCGUCCAAGUCCAUCUUGAAUGGGGCCAUUUACCCGUAGAGGGUGCCAGGCCCGUAGAGACCGGGACGCGCCGUGGGUGAACCUCUCCUUAGAGUCGGGUUGCUUGAGAGUGCAGCUCUAAGUUGGUGGUAAACUCCAUCUAAGGCUAAAUAUG
rnacentral:rRNA from 1 species